rnacentral:rRNA from 1 species
UUAGAGGCAAACGGGUGGACCCGCAAUACGUCGACCCGGGGGAUUCAACCAGGCCGUGCGUUCGGGACGCGUGGGGGUUAUGCGGAGCUGUAAAGCCCGUGCCUCUGCGCAGGUCUCCGGGCGGACUGGUGCACUUUCCCCGGGUGGAUUGCCACGACCGGCUCUCCGUGCGGCCACAAGCCCGUGCUGGGAAGGUGACCGUCGGCUCCGCGGCCGGCGGUGUUUAGAGCCCAGCUGGUUGGUUGCGCUCGUCGGAGGGCCGAGGAAAUGUUGCCGUUUCUCAGCCACCCUCCGGCCAUCCUUGCUCGUCACGACUGGGGCGAACUGGUCGGUCAGUGCUCUCCCGACCGCGAGCGUAGGAAGGGCUGGUACGGUGCGAGAAUUGCUUCGGGCCAGUGGCGAAUCGGUCGGUCGUCCACCCGACCCGUCUUGAA